CCCAUCAACACAUGAUGACCGGCCCAUCCCCAACUUUUCCUGGCCUUCCCGACCCCGCGCACCACCGUGCAUCUCCCCGCCGCGCGCCGCCGUACAUCCCGACACCUGCUCCUGCCGGCGUCGCCUGAGGCCACCGCCAGCCUCCCCUCGACACCACGCGCCGACGACCACCACCAACUUCCCCCUGAGGCGUCGCGCCGCCGGCCACCACCAACCUCCCCCAGACGCCGCGCGCCAACCGCCACCACCAUCCUCCCCCACGCCUCGCGCCUCCGGCCACCACCAACCUCCCCCGGACGCCGCGCGCCGACGAUCACCACCUUAAUUUAGUCCGACGGGCUGGUGGGAUCGACCACCUCCUCCGGCGACCCCUCUGCUGACCUCCUGUCGUUGCCCCGCUACAAUCUUUCUCCCGCGGCCGCGCCCGAUCCAAUGUCGCCGGCUUCCGCCGUGCGCGCCACCCAUGCCGACAGCAAGGCGACACCCACCUGUAGCACAACCUCCCACACCACCCUGGCUUCCCCACCUACAACACAACCUCUCGUCCGUGCAGCCACGCAGUCCAACUGCGUGCGACAUCCCUGUUCGACCUCUCCAGCCUUUGCAACCCCGUGUCCCGCCACCGUCCCGUGGGUAGUCCAACCUGAGGCCACGGAUGUGUGGACAGAGCCGGCGUGGUUUGAGAGGAAGAAGAAGGCAUUACGGCGAACUUAGUCGCGGAUGGAUCAAUCGAGCCGAGGUGCCCCUGCAAGUCUCUCUCACACGCAAAUUAUGUUGGUGCUGCUCUUCUCUCCUAUGUGAUUGUUGUUGCUGCUACUUCUCUCAUUAGCUGAUUUCGAUUCUACACACCUUUUGCUUCUGGUAGUGCCACCAUAGGGAACUAGCCCAUCCUUAUCUUACGGAAGUGGAUCUCAAUGGUUUGAAGGGUACUACAGUUAAAAGUGGCUGGGAAUUAAAGUUCAAGUUAGGUAACUACAAGGUCUAUAUGAAUUGUAACCUAUUGAUUAUAGAGUUUGUGUGUUUUCAUGUUUACUGCAAGAGAAACUCCUCCAUCCUGUCCCCUGUCGCAGCCCAACCGCUUGCUGCCAACGCGCUCUAACCCUAGUGCCUCCAUGAUGGAGGUCGUCUCACAGCCUAGCGACGAGGUAACUCAUCUUCCUUGUCCCUCUCUCUCAAUAUUUUGCAGACCACCAUUUUCUUUAGUAAUUAAUAAUGCCGUAGUCCAGUGUGUUGAUCUUCUCCAGUCCAAUGUGUUCUUGGCUGGCUGGAUACUCUAGCUGUCUGUUGUUUUUCAUUCGGUUCAGGUUGCUCUGGGAUUUGUCCAUGUUCAGAAGGGAGGUAAUUAACUUGGGUGUCCAGUUCUGAAGCUGGAGUAGUACAUACUGUAUAAAUGAGCAAAACCCCAAUCAAACUUUAAUAAGUGCGUACAAAUAAAAAAUGUUGCAUUGUACUAAUAAAAAACAGAGGGAGUACAUGAUGUAUUCAUGCUCCUAGCUACAUACAGUAGUAUGUACUGCUUCUCAAAAGCAGGAGACUGGAAAUGUAUUCCGCUCUUUUGCUGGUAGUACUUGUGAUUUGGCUUCUAAAUUUUAUAAGCUGCUGAUGAACUCAAUGUACGACUAACCUGCAACUGUGAUAUUGGUGAGUUUCAAAUUAUGAAAGCAGCACAAACAUUUAUAACGUUCUAUGGUUGACAAAAUGAAAUUUUACUACCUACAGGACUUGUGUGUGCUCAGGUUCUCCUCGCAUGUCACUCCGUCGUUGUUGUCUCUCCUGGAUGUUGUCUGCAGCUGGACGUCGUCCGCUGGCUGCUCCUGCACAGGCUGCUUCAAGGUCGAGAAAAAUUCUUGUGGCGGUUCGAACAAAAUUCUUGCGGCAAGUAUGAAAAAAAUGCGUGUGGCAGAUCUCCUCAAAAAUGCUUGCGGCAGAUGUCCUCCUCUCUCUUUGCGUGUGACCAUUGUAGAGAUCUUUAAUUUUCUUCGUUCUUGUGUAUGAGUUGAUGCCAUCUACCAAUUUUACGUCAUUCUUACGAAAACUGUGUGUGUGUGCAUUC